rnacentral:rRNA from 1 species
AUUGAACGCUGGCGGCAGGCCUAACACAUGCAAGUCGAGCGGUAGCACAGAGAGCUUGCUCUCGGGUGACGAGCGGCGGACGGGUGAGUAAUGUCAGGGAAACUGCCCGAUGGAGGGGGAUAACUACUGGAAACGGUAGCUAAUACCGCAUAACGUCGCAAGACCAAAGAGGGGGACCUUCGGGCCUCUUGCCAUCGGAUGUGCCCAGAUGGGAUUAGCUAGUAGGUGGGGUAACGGCUCACCUAGGCGACGAUCCCUAGCUGGUCUGAGAGGAUGACCAGCCACACUGGAACUGAGACACGGUCCAGACUCCUACGGGAGGCAGCAGUGGGGAAUAUUGCACAAUGGGCGCAAGCCUGAUGCAGCCAUGCCGCGUGUAUGAAGAAGGCCUUCGGGUUGUAAAGUACUUUCAGCGGGGAGGAAGGUGUUGAGGUUAAUAACCUCAGCAAUUGACGUUACCCGCAGAAGAAGCACCGGCUAACUCCGUGCCAGCAGCCGCAGUAA